CUGAGGGUCGGACGGUAUAUUUGAUCGAUAAAUCCGCGGUCACACUGAUCUCAAUUGCGGAACAUAAGGCCGUUUUGAAGCCCAACUGUGGCCCACAACUCCGCCCUGCCUCAGCCAGACCACCAGAUCGGCCAGGUGGAUCUUAGCCGACCAGAUCUUAGCCCGAAUCUGAAGAAAACCAAGCUGGAUGAGGCCUCGACGGCGGGGUUGAUGCAAGCACAUAAACGGAUCAGGGCGUGGUGUCUAUGAUGAGCUUCCAUCUGCGUCGCAAAAAGGGACUGGAACAAACCCUGGCGGCCAAGCUUACACCAAAGGCGUACGUCAAGGAGACUCAUGCCGUGCCCGGGCUGCCGGAGCUGCUGGAUCCUGCAUUCCCAACAAGACACGUCUGGACAGAUUAUGCGCCACUACGGCAGUGCAAGGGCAUCCGCCAGUUGCAGGCUUUGUACGUGUCCCACCUGCACGCGGAUCAUCACAUUGGAUUGAUUGGACUGCUGAAGGAGCGCAGAUAGCUGGCCCCGAAGGAAACUCGCUGCUCUUACUUGCGCCGCGGCAGAUCGAGCCAUGGAUGGAGUUCUAACAAGGAUAGCUCUUGGCGAGACUCCUGACUGGAGAGGCAGUGGCACCAUUGGGCAUAACUGCCGCCACUGCCAAGUCACCAGUAGGAACUGCCAAGCCGCCAGUGCGAACAGCUGCUUAAAAUCUUGCGAGACGCUUGGCGAUGCUGUGGAUGAUCGAGUUCAGCCCAACAAUCAACCUUUGCGGAAUGAGAGGAGCAGCAGCAAGGCAAGAAGGUGAGUUCUGGGUGAAAACUUGUCUCAUUGUCCUAUGCAGGAUGCCGAUCAGGAUUUGUACUAAAACCAGGACAGUUCGGCUAACUCGUCGCAGUCCUCGGUGGGCAUUGAUGACUAUUGGGAUGAGGCUCUGGUCGGCGACUAUGGAAGCACUCAGAAUGAUGACAGCGAUGACUUGGAUGGUCACAACAACUAGCCACCUAUCGAUGGGCAGCAAGGAAAAGAACCCGGCCGUAACGAGUUGCGUUACUAUUGGCGAUCAAGAGAUCAUAGACUGCAAAGAACAAUUCGACAAGCAGCGGCAGGCAACAUUACUUGGGCCGAGCAGGGCAGUAAAUGUAAAAGUUGUUCUGCACUAUCUUAAAAGCGUGCUCCGGCGGUCUUAAGCCUUCUGCACCAUGUUUUACAUCAUCGGUUUCGACCGGGAGCGCAGACAACUGGCUCCAAAGGAAACUCGCUGCUCAUACUUGCACCGCGGCAGAUUGAGCCAUGGAUGGAGUUCUAACACGGAUAGCUCUUGGCGAGACUCCUGACUGGAGAGGCAGUAACUUUGGGCAUAACUGCCGCCACUACCAAGUCACCAGUACGAACUGCCAAGCCGCCAGUACGAACAGCUGCUUAAAAUCUUGCGAGGCGUUUGGCGAUGCUGUGGAUGAUCGAGUUCAGCCCAACAAUCAACCGUUGCGGAAUGAGAGGAGCAGCAGCAAGGCAAGAAGGAUGCCGAUCAGGAUUUUUACUAAAACCAGGAGAGUUCGGCUAACUCGUCGCAGUCCUCGGUGGGCAUUGAUGACUAUUGGGAUGAAGCUCUGGUUGGCGACUAUGGAAGCACUCAGAAUGAUGACAGCGAUGACUUGGACGGGCACAACAACUAGCCACCUAUCGAUGGGCGAGCGCAGACAGCUGGCCCCGAAGGAAACUCGCUGCUCUUACUUGCGCCGCGGCAGAUCGAGCCAUGGAUGGAGUUCUAACACGGAUAGCUCUUGGCGAGACUCCUGACUGCAGAGGCAGUGGCACCAUUGGGCGUAACUGCCGCCACUGCCAAGUCACCAGUAGGAACUGCGAAGCCGCCAGUACGAACAGCUGCUUAAAAUCUUGCGAGACGCUUGGCGAUGCUGUGGAUGAUCAAGUUCAGCCCAACAAUCAACAGUUGCGGAAUGAGAGGAGCAGCAACAGGACAAGAAGGAUGCCGAUCAGGAUUUCUACUAAAACCAGGACAGUUCGGCUAACUCGUCGCAGUCCUCGGUGGGCAUUGAUGACUAUUGGGAUGAAGCUCUGGUCGGCGACUAUGGAAGCACUCAGAAUGAUGACAGCGAUGACUUGGACGGGCACAACAACUAGCCACCUAUCGAUGGGCAGCAAGGAGAAGAACCCGGCCGCAACGAGUUGCGUUACUAUUGGCGAUCAUGAGGUCAUGGACUGCAAAGAACAAUUCGACAAGCAGCAACAUUACUUGGGCCGAGCAGGGCAGUAAAUGUGAAAGUUGUACAGCACUAUCUUAAAAGCGUGCUCCGGCGGUCUUAAGCCUUCUGCACCAUGUUUUACAUCAUCGGUUUCGACCGGAUCCAGUGGCCUAAAAAGUGCUAUAGAGCGAUCCUCUCUUACCCCACCAGGAGGUCACCCCCUCCGGUGGCCAUGAAUACCUUUUGCAUGACCGCGAAUACCGAAUUACCCACCAUCGUUUAACUGGGGCUUCACACUUCAGGUCCUCCGGUUUAGCUGAACGAGUGGGCGCUCGAUGGCGGCUGUCCACUCCAGGCGCCUACCGGCUGACAUCGCGAGCUCCCCACCGGCUCUUGGGACAUGACUUACAUCGCGCGAGCUGUGGCCUCUAGCCUGGACGACCUUUGGGUCCUCUCGGGAUGUGUAAGGGAUGUGCUCCUGGCUGGACUGUGGCAGGCACUGUCUGUCCUCCUGCGGGCCAAAGCCAUGAUGCCACUACUGUGUCGCUGAAUCGACAAUGUGGCGUCCCGUCCGCUGCAGCAGGGACCACUGAUCGACUUCAGAAUUGUGGGUUCACGCCCACGGUAAUCAAACGCUGGUCUUCAGCCUCGAGGCGCAGGGCUUAUGUACCAUAUCCAAGCAUUGCCGAAUCGUAUCCCAGCAGGACAAAAGCGCACCCCUUGGAAGAGCCCAAAUCUAACAAGCCGACGUCACAUUUCGACCUGGCCAUUGAAAACUAUCUCAAGGACUUUGGCUAUGGCAACCAAGGGAGGGAUACGCGGACUACCAGACUAUAGAUAGAUCUCGUUGUUAAUAGGUUUAAGGAUACACACGUCUGUACAUUUAGAUAGUAGAUAUAAAUAUUUCCAAAUUGUUAAUUUCUUUAUAGUAAGUUAACGUUAUUAUGAAUAAAACUAUUGAAAAAUUA
rnacentral:sRNA from 1 species